UACGUAGGGCGCAAGCGUUGUUCGGAAUUACUGGGCGUAAAGAGUGUGUAGGCGGUGCUCUAAGUCUGUCGUGAAAUCUCCCGGCUUAACUGGGAGGGUGCGGCGGAUACUAUUGUGCUAGAGGGUGGGAGAGGUAAGCGGAAUUCCUGGUGUAGCGGUGAAAUGCGCAGAUAUCAGGAGGAACACCGGUGGCGAAGGCGGUUCUCUGGGCAUGACCUGACGCUGAGGAGCGAAAGUGUGGGGAGCGAACAGG
rnacentral:rRNA from 1 species